rnacentral:rRNA from 1 species
AAUAGAUACCCGGGUAGUCCACGCCGUAAACGAUGAGUGCUAAGUGUUAGAGGGUUUCCGCCCUUUAGUGCUGCAGCUAACGCAUUAAGCACUCCGCCUGGGGAGUACGGUCGCAAGACUGAAACUCAAAGGAAUUGACGGGGGCCCGCACAAGCGGUGGAGCAUGUGGUUUAAUUCGAAGCAACGCGAAGAACCUUACCAGGUCUUGACAUCCUCUGACAACUCUAGAGAUAGAGCGUUCCCCUUCGGGGGACAGAGUGACAGGUGGUGCAUGGUUGUCGUCAGCUCGUGUCGUGAGAUGUUGGGUUAAGUCCCGCAACGAGCGCAACCCUUGAUCUUAGUUGCCAGCAUUCAGUUGGGCACUCUAAGGUGACUGCCGGUGACAAACCGGAGGAAGGUGGGGAUGACGUCAAAUCAUCAUGCCCCUUAUGACCUGGGCUACACACGUGCUACAAUGGAUGGUACAAAGGGCUGCAAGACCGCGAGGUCAAGCCAAUCCCAUAAAACCGAUUACUCGAGUUCGGAUUGU